UGCCUCAUACAUGCAAGUCGAACGAGGUCUUCGGGCCUAGUGGCGCACGGGUGAGUAACAUGUGGGAAUCUACCUGAAGGUUCGGAAUAACUGCGGGAAACUGUAGCUAAUACCGGAUGUGUCUGUAAAGAGAAAGAUUUAUCGCCUUCAGAUGAGCCCGCACUAGAUUAGCUAGUUGGUGAGGUAAAUGCUCCACCAAGGCUACGAUCUAUAGCUGAUUUGAGAGGAUGAUCAGCCACACUGGGACUGAGACACGGCCCAGACUCCUACGGGAGGCAGCAGUAGGGAAUAUUGGACAAUGGGGGAAACCCUGAUCCAGCAAUGCCGCGUGAGUGAAGAAGGCCUUAGGGUUGUAAAACUCUUUCAUCAAUGAUGAUAAUGACAUUAGUUGAAGAAGAAGCUCCGGCUAACUUCGUGCCAGCAGCCGCGGUAAUACGAAGGGGGCUAGCGUUGUUCGGAAUCACUGGGCGUAAAGCGUAUGUAGGCGGAUCAAAAAGUUAGAUGUGAAAUCCCUGGGCUCAACCCAGGAACUGCAUUUAAAACUAGUGAUCUAGAAUUUGGUAAAGGUUAGUAGAAUUUCCAGUGUAGAGGUGAAAUUCGUAGAUAUUGGAAAGAAUACCAGAAGCGAAGGCGACUAACUAGGCCAUUUUUGACGCUGAGAUACGAAAGCGUGGGUAGCAAACAGGAUUAGAUACCCUGGUAGUCCACGCAGUAAACGAUGAGUGCUAGUCGCUGGGACAUUAGUUUCAGUGUCGAAGCUAACGCAUUAAGCACUCCGCCUGG
rnacentral:rRNA from 1 species